GGGUGUAGGAGAGGUGACUAAGCUUACCAGAGUGAAAUCAGCCAACCACCUAGGACUUGCAACUCAGGAAACUACAGAACAGAGAAGUUAAAUCACAGCUAACAAGAGAAUUAGCAAGACAUUGGGGUUCUCCCAGAUUUACACUGACAUUUCUCCUCGGCAGCCUGCAUUCCUCUAUGACUCCUAUGGAUUUCAUUACCAAGACUAGUGUGGUCUGCUUCAUUGUCUUCUGAUUAUAUUUGGCCAAUGGAAGACAACAAAAGGAGAUGGAAGGCAUAAAGAUCGUUUACUGGAUGAUAUUUGAUACUGGCUGCAAUCUUCCACCUGAGGUCCCCACUUUGCCAGAAGCCUUCUGUCCUGCUGCUCUCCCCAGAUUCUGGAUUCUUUCAAUAGCUCCCUCUAUUUGCCACCUCAGGUUUAGAGAAGCUAAUGGUUUCCAAAUGUGGUCAGACCCUGGAUGAUUGACCAUUUCCUGUUGCUUUCCAACAUACUGCUCACCAUCAAAGAGUCAUCAUCAAACUCUCUUCAUCUUCAGUUAUCCCUUUGAGUGUACCAUCUAUUUUCUUGUCUGACAGGAUAACUAAGAAAUAAGAUAAAUCCUUCAAGAUUUAUCAACUAUUGGCUAAUUAAGCAAAAACAAUCACACACACACACACACACACACACACACACACACAAAAUGUUUCUGUUACUUUUUAUUUUCCCAAACAUCUGAGAAUGCAAGAAUAAGUUUGGUAACGGUCAUCUUCCAAGAACAAAGAAUAGUUUAAAAGAAAAGAUAUCUGUAAUUCCCUGAAUUUUGAAAGCGGACGUCCAAAAGGUGAUAAUCCUGGAAAUGUGCACAGCAGCAGGACCCCACAUUUGGAUGCCUAACCUCUGGCUUUCCUGUCAUUUCAAUCUAUCGCAACGACUUACAUCUAGAUGCUGUCUAGUUUAAUGCAUCCAGACCCAUUUGUAUUUCAUAUUAAAAAAUUCCCAAAGUAAACAUACCCUGUAGUUGGAGAGAUAUUAAUUGCUGAAGACAGUAAACAUACUGAGAACUCAUUUUACUUUUGAAAAAUAUUAAAUAAAGAGAGACAUCGCUUAAUUUUAAUCUAUCCAGUUACUAGUAAAGCUCUCUUUACAUGGUUCUUAAAAUGUGGAAGCCAUUUGCUAAAUUAUCGGUGUCCUAAAAAAUCAAGGCUACAUUUUAUCUACUUAGUUCCGACUAAGUUUCUGAUCACACAAUUCUAUUUUCCUAAACUUCACAUUUUAGCUAUCAAAAUAAAAUCAGUCAUUUCUGAAAUUUA